UGUAUUUUGACUGUGCUAAGGUAGCAUAAUCAUUUGUCUUUUAAUUGAAGACUGGAAUGAAAGGUGUAACAAGUAAUUUGCUGUCUUAAUAAAAUAAAUUGAAUUUUAUUUUUUAGUGAAAAAGCUAAAAUAAUUUUGUGGGACGAUAAGACCCUAUAGAUCUUCAUUAUUUUGAAAUAUUUAAUUUUUUAAUAUAAUUUUAUUGGGGGGUAUGAUCCUAGAUGAAGGAAUAAUAGAAUAAGUUACCUUAGGGAUAACAGCGUAAUAUUUUUUUAGAGUUCCUAUCGAAAAAAAUGUUUGCGACCUCGAUGUUGGAUUAAGAUGUUAUUAUGGUGCAGAAUUUAUUAAUAUUAGUCUGUUCGACUAUUAAAAUCUUACGUGAUCUGAGU
rnacentral:rRNA from 1 species